GUGAUGCACAGACGUGUCGAAUCGUACAGUUGAUAAUCAAUCCAGCAGGUACACUGUGAUUGCGAAGUGCAGGCAGAGUAAGUGUCCUGAAUGGAACAUUCAGCAUCGAUCUUCCUGUGGGGGUGUCUGUGUGUGUGUUUUUUUUCUGUCGAACAACAUUUAAUCCAACGAAAGUGAAAUGUGUUAAAGGACUACUCAGUGCUAGUGUAAAUACAUAUCUUACCAGCAACGUUUCUUGUGUUACCAACAAGGCGCAUGAUGGAGACCGUCUUAAAAUGCGUUACCAUUGCAACGUUUCUAUUACUGCGGUACAUACCAGUGGCUGCAGAGUGUCCGCAGUCCUGUACGUGCCGGAGUGGCGAGAUAAAAUGUCGGAGAGCUUCACUGACAACAGUACCCAGCAACUUAAAUACUAACACAGUUGUAAUCGAUCUAUCGUUCAACAGCAUAUCGAUACUCACCAACAGUGUCUUCGACAACACGCCUCAUCUGAAGACUAUUGUCGUAAGUGACAACGGUAUUAAAAUGGUGGAACCAGAAGUGUUUAACGGCUUACAGGACCUAAGAGAAAUAGAUCUACAUAACAAUAAUAUUGAUUAUAUCCAUCCAAGCCUUUUCCAAAACAAUCCUAACCUUUCAAUGUUGGAUCUUAGUUGUAAUGAUUUAGAACAUUUAUGGCUUGAUUUUAGCUACAAUACUGAACUAAAGUUUUUGAAUUUAAGUGUAAAUAUGCUUAAAUUUGAAGACCUAGCCAUUUUCCGUCCUCUGAUAUCUCUGCAAGUGCUAGAUCUAUCAAAUAAUCAAAUGGAAAACAUGAGUGGUGAAGUCUUUGAUGGGAUGGUGGAUCUGAAAUAUCUCAAUGUAUCGGGUAACCCACAGUUGGAAUAUGACUGCCGCUUGAGAACAUUGUGGACUUUGUGUUACAAGCAGAACAUAACUUGCAUUACUGAUGACCAGCAGUCAUUCAAAAUGGUUGACAAUCUACACUGUGAUACUGAAGAACAGCUAAUAACCAUGUCUUUAAUUGAUGAAACAGAUGGGUUUAUAACAACCAGCGAAAAUAGCAUUGAAGGUAGCGUGGAAGAGGGCAGUGGCAUGGAAUCUACGGAGAUAAUUGAGGAUAAUGGGACAAAAGAAUUUAAUUCCACUGAAAAGGCUUUUAUUCAACCAACAAUCACAACGAACGGCGAUUGGUUCCUUAUAACAAUUAUUGUGGGUUCGGUGUUCUGUGUUGCUGUAGUGAUCAUAGUGGCACUGAUUUGUAUCCGUCGAUAUAGAAAUUCUCGUGGCGAAACAUCUGGACAUUUAUCUCGCACGAAUUCUAUCGAUUACCUUAAUCAAGAAGAUCAGUUUAGCAGAAAAUACAAGAAUGCAAGACAUGAUAACGUUAAAAAUCACAAUAAUUAUGAUCGUGUCAGUCCGGAGAUCAGUAACAGUGUUAUACAGUUUAAAGUUGGUAGCACUGUGGCGGCAGAAGUUGUGCGGGUUCCAAGUUUUAAAACUCGUGGUGUGGCGGCGCCAUUAAAUCUUCCAGAAGAGAUUCCUCUUCAAGAAACAAAAUUUAUUAUUGAAAAUAAACGUGAUGUGUGUCACCUACCUAUUCAGCCAUCAACAGAUUCGCUGUCACGUUCCAAUCAAAUGUUUCCAUAUGAACAAAGCGAAACGGCGCGGGUGAACGGUGUAAGGUACGGGAAAUAUGCUGAUGGUUCUACGCCCGACAUUCAAUACGCGAAACCAGGGAAAAGAAACGCAUUGACAGCCAGGCUGACUUGAACUGGGACCUGCAAUUCAAUAAUGACAGCUAUUGUUUGGGUUUAUAAUCCAUAGCAGAUGAAGUCUAUCCACCUUACGAGCCACGUUACGUCAUACCUUGUGUAGGUAACCUUACGGAAGAGAAGUUCCUGUAAUAAGGUCAACAUAUACCAAAGAAGUAUCAGCUUUAAUAGUGCACGAUCUAUCAACAGAUCAGGAAUUCUAAUCGGAAAAUAUCGGAAUGUCCCGAUUUCUGCUUACCAAGAUAAUAUACAGAUUUAUAAUUUAUUCUUUCAUCGAAAUGUAAAUCACAAUAAAGACUGGACGAAAAGAUUUCCGAAAAGUCUGAUCAGUGGACUAAUAAUACUGAUCUUGCAUGUGAUAUGUCGUCGAAGAGUAGAAAGGAAAGGAGACUAUUUUGUGUUUUCAUAUUUCUCAUAAAUCUUAGAAUAAUGCUUUAAAGGUGGUGAUGAAAGGAGGAAAACAGCGUGUGUUUUCUUUAUCUGUAUGUCUGAUAACAUUUCUGCGAUAAAUCAAAUAAAACUGAACAUCCUGUUACAGUACAUCGAUACCUAGGCAGUCGUCUUCUACUUAUCGUCUUCCCUUCGUUUAUGACAGACAGAGGGAAGACUGGACACGUUCACUUUCUGAUCUUCUGUUCAACGUGAUGACGAAUGAAUAAUUUCUCCAAUGUUUAUUAAAGUUUGUAUGAGGGAGAGUGAGUAAACAGGUCAAAAAUUGAAUUAAAGCAGCUGCAAUGGAUGUAAUUGAUUUUCUAUGUGUAUCACUAGGUAACAGCACAGUCCAGCUUCAUGACAGUCUAGGUAGCAGACUCAUACACAUUUUCAAAAGCUGGUUUCAGUAGUCAAAAUGGCUGCCGUGUUUGACUGUGUACUACCGAAGAGAGCGGUCUGCUGUGCGUUUUAUGGGCAAAAUGACUCAAUGCAAAAGAUACUCAUAAAUAAAUAGUUCCUCUUUGCGGUGGGAAGUGUUUGUCGUCUAAAGCAGUUCAGACUUAAUGGCAAAUGUUUUCCUGAUGACAAAGAAGUUGAAACGGAGGUGGGUAAGUGGCUGAGACAACAAUCAAAAGACUUCUAUGCUGCGGGUUUCGACGCCCAGGUA